GCCAUUGAUGGUUCCUAUGUAAGCAAAUAUCCAUGUAAUCAUUUUGAUGCAUUACCAAAAACGAUGUCAAGAAUCAAUUUUACCGCUUCAAUAAUUUCCCUCUCAAAGUAUGCAUUGUCUUUGCAUGGAAAAUUGAAACAAUGUGGUUUUUUCAUGUUAAAGGAAAAAUAAUGAUAAUGUUAAUGGUUAAUCGAAGUUAUAAAUUCUCGAAAAGUUAAUUUAAUUUUGUUUUUAACAUUAUGUGAUCGUAACGUUUGUCCUAAUCAUAAUCAUCAUCAAUUGAUUUGGUUAUUAUUCAAGAUAAUUACAGAGUAGUGAAGACACAUGGAGUAGAAGAAGCAUUUCAUCAUUGAUUCCGUCGUAAAUAAUGUACACUUUUAUUGGUCAAAUUGGUCGUCGAAAUAUCCCUUUGGGCCAUCAUCUAUUCACUUCUUCCAACCUUCCUCCUCCUCCUCCCAUCUCACAUUUGAUCGUGAUGAUUAAAAACAACGGACCUGGGCUUUUCUUUUUCAUAAACAUCUCUUUCUUGUGCAUCUUCAUCAUCUUACACAACAUCAACCAAAAUUGCAAUCCUGACAAUCUCUAACAUUAGGCGUAGACAAAAUGUAUUAAAGUACAAGGAAAACUGGCCUCAAGUCUCCCGCUGAGAUAUCUUAGAUAACAUAUAAGAUGAGGAUAGACAAAAAGUAACAGUGAAGACAGAGGAUAGAAAGAAGUUGAAGAAGGAGCAAAAAGCCGAAAAUAAUGAUGAGGGUUUCUGCGAGUUCGGAAGCAUAAUUUGGCUCAUCUUCUCUUCAUCUUCUAUUAUCUACUUUUUUGGAGAAAAGGCUCAAAAAUUUUGUUAAGGUAAAAUAGACUAACCAACAAUGUUAAACAAUGUUAAUAAUAUUUGAUGGUUAUAAGAAAUGAUGAAGUGAGAGGUAAUUUGCAGCUUUCAGGUCAAACAGGUAAGCUGUUUGACAGUUAUACUUGCUGUUGACAUUGGUAAUAAUUAAUAAUAAUAAUAGUUUUUUAAUGAUUCCUGGUAUUUGGUUUUUCAAAGCUGAUAAUUCAUUUAUCUUCAUAAACUUUUAAUUCCUUUUUCUCAUUUCGCAGUAUUGCAAAAAAAGUCCAGAAGAUAGAUAAAGUCUCCAAUGUGAGUCGUUUUCAUUACCUUUUCUUGAGAAAAUUUCACUUUUCAGGUCACUCGAAUUAACUUUUAUUUUCAUUGGAUUGGUGAUUAUCUCUGAUCGAAAUGAUAAUGAAAUAGAGAGGCCAAAUGGGAGAGGUGAAGAGAAAUGACCUGAAUAUUUUUGUAACAAGUAAAUUGAUUGCACUCUUGGCCAGGAAAAAAAACAACUUAAAAUCAAAUCCUAAUUGAUACUUUGGUCUAUGAUGUACAUGAUGUGUAUUCUUAUUCGUAAUUUGUCUUUUCACCUUUGCCCUGACUUGAAUAAUUUACUGCAAUUUUCCCCUCAAUCAUCUAUAAUCAAUUUUAUUAUGGUUAACUGUUAUUUUCUUGUUAUUUUGUUUUCAAUAAAACCAGUGAGGAUAAGCACAGCCUCUUUCAAUUAUCACUUCA